UGAAGUUGACAGAUCAUGAAAUUUUUUAUUAUAAAGCACACAAGAAUUCCUAUUUAUUACAUUCUAACGAGAAAAUAUAUGGCUCAAAUUCCCGUUUUUGUUUAUACUUGUAUUAUCCUUCUUUCUAUACUUCUUGUAGCACAUGGUGAUCCUAUUCCAUGUGUUAGUGACGAUGAUUGUCCAUGGAGGAUUUUCCCUCUAGUUAUGAAAUGUAUUAACAAAUUUUGUGAAUACAAAAUAAUGUUAUAAUUAAGAUUUUCAAGAAUUUGAAUAUGUCUUAGCAACAAGAACAUGAAUGAUGGCUAAAGUAUUUAAACGGUAUCGUUACCUCUUAAUAUCUCUUUCUCCAAUAUAUUCAUAAUUGUAUUGUAUUUUCUCAAAUAAAAGCUAGUCUUAUACUCUCUUAAAUAUCACAUUUGUAACAACUAUCUAUCUCAAAAUAAAUAUCGUUUUCAAUGUAA